rnacentral:rRNA from 1 species
UACGUAGGGUGCGAGCGUUAAUCGGAAUUACUGGGCGUAAAGCGUGCGCAGGCGGUUUUGUAAGCCAGAUGUGAAAUCCCCGGGCUUAACCUGGGAACUGCGUUUGAAACUGAAAGGCUAGAGUGUGGCAGAGGGGGGUGGAAUUCCACGUGUAGCAGUGAAAUGCGUAGAUAUCUGGAGGAACACCGGUGGCGAAGGCGGCAUCCUGGACCGGUAUUGACGCUGAGGCGCGAAAGCCAGGGGAGCAAACGGG